CCCUUUAACCAUAUCCACAAUACAAAGAAACAGAAGGUAGAGAGACCGGCAGAUAGAUGAGAUCCUAUUUUUCCCUUAAAACAAAAAUUAUUCAGAAAAAAAUCCAAUAAAAAAAAAAGUAAAUAAGCUCCAAAGUUUAAGUUUAAUAUUAAUUAUAAUAAUUAUUAUUAUUUUUUAAGGAGCGAUCUCCAAAUCCCUCUCCCUAAAACUCAAAAAUUCAAAAUCCCUCACUAUGGCCUUUCACGUAGCUUGCCCAAUUACAUGUCGCCGGAUUUGCUUCUGCUCGCUAGGGUUUCCGCGAGAUCUCCACACCUCGAAAUCCAAAACUGAGUUUCUGCUUCAGGUUUCGAGAAUUGACGAGUUUUUGAAGGAUCCUUUGGGAAUUAGGGAUUCUAAGGAGGAGUCUACUGUUCAGGUCCUUGUUCCUAAGGUUGAACCUGUUCCCGCGGCGCCUGCUCUGACUUUUGGUGUUGCUGGAGAUGGAGGAGGAGGAGGUGGUGGUGGUGGUGGAGUUGUUGGUGAUGAUUUGGGAGAGGAGGCCUCUGCUCAGACCAAGCGUGUUGCGCUUCAGAGAAAGGCAGCUGCUGCUAUGGUUGCUGCUGAGGAUUAUGCCCGCCGGUUUGAGUCUGGUGAUUUGGCGGUUGGCUCAAAUGGUGCUACUGGAGAAGAGCAAGGUCUGUCCAACACAAAUAUAAUGUGCCGAAUGUGCUUUUCGGGUGAAACUGAAGGAAGUGAAAGGGCAAGGAGGAUGCUUUCCUGCAAAAGUUGUGGCAAGAAGUAUCAUAGGAGCUGUUUGAAAGCAUGGGCUCAACAUAGAGAUUUAUUUCACUGGAGUUCGUGGACCUGUCCAUCGUGCAGAAUCUGUGAGAUAUGCCGAAGAACUGGGGAUCCUAAUAAGUUUAUGUUUUGCAAAAGGUGUGAUGGUGCAUACCAUUGUUACUGCCAACAUCCUCCACACAAGAAUGUGAGUUCUGGACCAUAUUUAUGCCCUAAACAUACAAGGUGUCACAGCUGUGGAUCUUCUGUUCCAGGAAAUGGUCUAAGUGUGAGGUGGUUUCUGGGGUACACUUGCUGUGAUGCUUGUGGAAGAUUGUUUGUGAAGGGAAAUUAUUGCCCUGUUUGUUUAAAGGUUUAUAGAGAUUCAGAGUCAACACCAAUGGUUUGCUGUGAUAUCUGUCAGCGGUGGGUGCACUGCAGUUGUGAUGGGAUUAGUGAUGAAAAAUAUCUACAGUUUCAAGUGGAUGGAAACCUCCAAUACAAAUGUGCCACAUGUCGUGGAGAGUGCUACCAGGUAAAGGACCUUGAAGAUGCUGUCCAAGAGCUGUGGAGGAGACGAGAUAAGGCUGACCAAGGUCUAAUUGCAAGCUUGAGGGCUGCUGCUGGGUUGCCAACACAAGAAGAUAUAUUUUCUAUUUCACCUUAUUCAGAUGAUGAAGAAAAUGGUCCAGUGACGCUAAAGAAUGAGUUUGGACGUUCUUUAAAGCUCUCCCUCAAGGGGCUAGUUGAUAAGUCACCAAAAAAGAGCAAGGAAUAUGGAAAGAAAUCUGCUAGUAAGAAAACUGCCAGGAAAAAAAGCUCUCAGAUGUCUCUAAUUAAUAAGACAGAACCACAUCAGCACGACAUUCGAUCUUCUGGACACAGUUUGGAUGAAAACAAUAAUGAUGACAGUGAUUCUCAUAAAAAGGGAGGAUAUUCUUCUCCUGUGGCAGGAAUUGUGAACCGUGCUGAAGGAAUUUGCUCGGUUAAUCAGACGAGUGUUUUGAAACAUAAGUUUGUAGAUGAGGUUAUGGUAAGUGAUGGAGAGAAGACAUCUAGGAUUGUUAAGAUUAAGAAUAACAAAUCUUGUGAUUUGAAUAGUGGUGAUGAUACUGAAGAGCAGGCUAACAAGUUGAAAGCUGUGAAGGCAAAGAAGUUGGUUAUAAAUCUAGGUGCAAGAAAAAUAAAUGUAACUAAUUCACCAAGAUCUGAUGCUUCAAGCUGCCAAAGAGAUCAAGAUCUGACAACUUCCAAUGGAAGUGAAGAUGCAGGCCAGCAUGGACUGAGUGAUGGGUUUGUCGGGGAUAGACAUGAAGGUGCUACUGCAUUUGGAAUUGGCGAUGGUGACAUCGUUGAUCACUCUAGCCAAGUAGGAAGUUUGAAGUUUCCACGCAUCAAGUUUGGAAAAGUGAAAUCUGAAACUUCCAACUUAAAUCCCAAAUUUGACAGAGUGAAUGCAGAUGGAUAUGAAGCCAUUCCUUUAGAUCAUACAAGUGUUCCGUCGGUAAAAAGAAGCAUUGAUUCAAGUGGGACUGCAAUGGGGCCUGUAGGUGAAGUCCCUGCUUUAAAAAGCAACAAGGUAUCUUUAGGGAAGCAACCAGAAGCCAGGCGGCCUGAGACACAUACUGAAAGCAAUGAUGAUUCUAGUGACACACCUAUUUUGCAAUCACUGCCAAAAGAUUCCAAAUUUUCAUUGAAGUUAAGGAUUAAAAAACCUAAUCUUCUAAACCAGUAUACUCGAAAGCCUCUUCCUGAGGAAGAAAAGAGUUCCAUAAGGGGCCAAAGGUCAAAAAGAAAGAGACCAUCAAGCUUGAUGGAGAAAACACUUCUUAAUGAAGGUGAAGAUGUCGCACAGUCACAUCAAGACAGUGAGAUGAUGGAAGCUAGUUGGAUAUUGAAAAAGUUGGGUAAAGAUGCAAUUGGAAAGAGAGUUGAAGUUCAUCAGCCAUCUGACAAUUCAUGGUGAGUUUUCCUUUCCACCCCUUUACUUUGGGGAAAGGGUGCUUUGAAGCUAUGGGAAUGAACAUGCAAAGUAAAUUGGUGAGGAAGCCCUGGAAUCAUGAGAAAGAUACUAUUACAUAGGAAGGUGUAGAGUGUAGACCAAGGAUCAGAAAUAAUGAGUUGGUUGUGAGAGGGUCAUAUGCUCAGUGGUCUAAUACUCAUCUGCAUCUCAUUGACUUGUGUGUCCUCUGCCCCGUCAUUCUGCUUCUGUGCAUGCAUGUCACGUCUCCUACUUUCUCAGUUUCUCCUACUUGAAGGAAAAUGUAUUUGCUGUCUUAUGGAGAUGGGAAAUGACUUGUAGAACCCUUCAUGUCAUGAUAUGACUUGGAAAUUUUGGUUUGUGUUUUUGGGCUUUAUCUUUCUUUUUGGCUGUUGAUGACUUGCUAAUCCAGGCAUAAAGGAGCUGUCUCUGACGUGAUCGAACACACUUCAAUAUUAUCUGUUGCACUGGAUGAUGGUACAGUAAAAACCUUGGAACUUGGGAAGCAAGCGGUUCGCUUUGUUCCACAAAAGCAAAAAAGGUCAAAAACAUGAACGUACAAAUUUGUUUGUAGUUGGCAAUUCGCAUUUGGAGACUCUUCCAUAUUAGAGUUGAAGCAGCAGUCUCCACUCCUGUAGACAGAUUAAAGUUGCAUUUUCUGGGUUCUUGUAUCGCAAAUGAUUCUUCAUCAAAGCAUGGUUCAGUGGAGCAGUUCACUUGGUUACAACCAGGGAUUAUUUCGGAGUAGUGCUCUAUUCUUUUGUCAUUCUCUGCAUGUAUUUUUAGAUAUGUAGAUUUGUUCUUCCAAUUGUUCUGGAUGCUGUAUCUAGGCAUCUAGGUAAACAUUCUCACGUGUUGUUGAUUAGUGCAUAGUAGGUGGCAGCCUCGUUACUUGUAGCUAGAAUCGUAGAAUUGACCAUUGGCGCCAGAGGCCAUGGCCUAUGCGCCCAUACCUCUGUUUUGCUUGGUAAGUUUGCGUUUGUUAAAAAAUAUUUUUUUCCAUUUUAUAAUGUGAGACGUUCAGAAAAUGCAGUACGUGAAAA